GAUGAACGCUGGCGGUAUGCUUAACACAUGCAAGUCGAACGGACUCUUCGGAGUUAGUGGCGGACGGGUGAGUAACGCGUGAGAAUCUGGCUUUGGGUUCGGGACAACCACUGGAAACGGUGGCUAAUACCGGAUGUGCCGAGAGGUAAAAGAGAAAUUGCCUGAAGAUGAGCUCGCGUCUGAUUAGCUAGUUGGUGAGGUAAAGGCUCACCAAGGCAGCGAUCAGUAGCUGGUCUGAGAGGAUGACCAGCCACACUGGGACUGAGGCACGGCCCAGACUCCUACGGGAGGCAGCAGUGGGGAAUUUUCCGCAAUGGGCGAAAGCCUGACGGAGCAGUACCGCGUGAGGGAAGAAGGCUCUUGGGUUGUAAACCUCUUUUCUUAGGGAAGAACAAAAUGACGGUACCUAAGGAAUCAGCAUCGGCUAACUCCGUG
rnacentral:rRNA from 1 species